GCUGCAAUUGCUAGCAAACAUGGUGAUAAUAACAAUUGCACAAGUAGUGAUGCUUGCAUACCGUCCUGCAGAUCUAGCUUUUCUCAAUCAUUUUCUUUUAAUAUUUCUGUUUAGGAUGAUCUCAGCAUAUGAAGACCAAUGCUGUGAUAAGGGUUCUCUCAUGCAAUGUAAUUUGGAAUCAAGCUUAGGUUUCUGAAUCGAAGCUGCAACACAUGUUCCAAAUGCUGACUGAUGCAUGAAUUAGUGUGCAAACCAUAUGGUUACAAGAUAAACUACCACGACCAAGCGGCAAUGAUGAAAAUUGACAAAGAAAAUAGUAAUCCUGACAUCAGGAUUAAAGCUUCACAUUGUGUCACCAGAUUGUAACCUAUAUAAUAAUGGAUGGAGACUUGGUUUGCCCUGCAAAGAUGGGAAGAUCUGUAGAGGUAUCCAGAAUUGUUGUUUUUCCACUAUUUGAUACAGAUAUACUUGUGUUUUUCCAAAUGCUUGUG